AUACCCGCUGAACUUAAGCAUAUCAAUAAGCGGAGGAAAAGAAACCAACAGGGAUUGCCCUAGUAACGGCGAGUGAAGCGGCAACAGCUCAAAUUUGAAAUCUGGCCUCGGCCCGAGUUGUAAUUUGCAGAGGAUGCCUCUGGCGCGGUGCCUUCCGAGUUCCCUGGAACGGGACGCCACAGAGGGUGAGAGCCCCGUAUGGUCGGACACCAAGCCUGUGUGAGGCUCCUUCGACGAGUCGAGUAGUUUGGGAAUGCUGCUCUAAAUGGGAGGUAAAUCUCUUCUAAAGCUAAAUACCGGCCAGAGACCGAUAGCGCACAAGUAGAGUGAUCGAAAGAUGAAAAGCACCUUGAAAAGGGGGUUAAAUAGUACGUGAAAUUGUUGAAAGGGAAGCACUUGUGACCAGACUUGGGCCGGGCGGCUCAUCAGGGGUUCUCCCCUGUGCACUCCGCCCGGCACAGGCCAGCAUCGGUUCUCGCGGGGGGAUAAGACCGCCGGGAACGUAGCACCCUCCGGGGUGUGUUAUAGCCCGGCGGACGAUACCCCCGCGGGGACCGAGGUCCGCGCUCCGCAAGGAUGCUGGCGUAAUGGUCACCAGUGACCCGUCUUGAAACACGGACCAAGGAGUCGUCCAUUAGAGCGAGCGUUUGGGUGUAAAACCCGCACGCGUAAUGAAAGUGAACGCAGGUGAGAGCUUCGGCGCAUCAUCGACCGAUCCUGAUGUUCUCGGAAGGAUUUGAGUAAGAGUUUUAACGGACGGACCCGAAAGACAGUGAACUAUGCUUGUAUAGGGUGAAGCCAGAGGAAACUCUGGUGGAGGCUCGCAGCGGUUCUGACGUGCAAAUCGAUCGUCAAAUAUGAGCAUGGGGGCGAAAGACUAAUCGAACUGUCUAGUAGCUGGUUACCGCCGAAGUUUCCC
rnacentral:rRNA from 1 species